rnacentral:rRNA from 1 species
UACAUGGGGUGCAAACGUUGCUCGGAAUUAUUGGGCGUAAAGCGCGCGUAGGCGGUUACUUAUGUCGGAUGUGAAAGCCCUCGGCUUAACUGAGGAAGUGCAUUCGAAACUGGGUAGCUAGAGUACUAAAGAGGGUCGCGGAAUUCCCGGUGUAGAGGUGAAAUUCGUAGAUAUCGGGAGGAACACCGGUGGCGAAGGCGGUUCUCUGGGCCUUACCUGACGCUGAGGAGCGAAAGCGUGGGGAGCGAACAGG